UGUAAUCAGGGUUCAAAUCUAAAGUUGUCUUCUGUGAUUAUGCUCCUUAAUUCAGCUAGUCAGAGUGACCACCUUGUAAUCAGGGUGAGAGUCCUGUUCCCCUCGCUUAUGAUAAUUACUCUUGUCUUUUUCACUUGAGCCUUGUGACCUCCCUGUAAGUAGGGUUCAGGUCUCUGUCCUUUUCUCAUCUGGGAUUGUGUCUUGCUCUCAGCCCAAUCAGUUUGACUUCUCUGUAAUUUUGUGCAGGUCACGUGCCUCUUAUUUACGGAGGAUUUGUUUCCCCUUAGUGCUUUGGGCUGAGUGACCACCCUGUAAGUAGGGUUCAGGUUUCCUCCUUUUCUCUUUCUUGUGAUGUAUUUUCCAUUAUUUGGCUAGCCCAAGGGACCGCCCUGUCAGUAGGGUUCAGGUCCUUUCCCCUUUGGCUCCUUUGGGUUGUUGGGCUAGUCACUUGGACCCCACCCUGUAAUCAGAGUGCAGGUCUUGUCCCUUUUCCCUUUGUUUUUUGGAGGGGAGGAAGAUUGGUUGAGUUUAACACUGUAGGUUGAAUGACCUGUUUUGAUGAGCUCUCUUUCUGUUCUGGGAAGUCCCCCUUUGUUUUGUACGGAUGUGUUUGUGAGAGCACGUGAUAGAAGUGGGUGUGCAAGCUUUUAAAUUUUUAUUUUUUUAUUUUUCUUUUUUUAAGUUACAUCGCUGCAGCGCUUUUUCUUUACUCUUCUCCGAAUUGGAAAAAGAGCUCAAAGUGUAUUAAUGUAUUUAUCCUCCUCCUCCCCACAAAAGGGAAGAGUAAAGGCUCAGAUGUCAUUUUUUAGUGCCUUGGGCAGUGUGACCUCGCUGUAAACAGGGAACUGGUCUCUCCACUUUUGCUCUGUUUUGGCUGAGCUCCUUUUAGUGGGCUGAUGGCAAUGACUGGCCUUUAAGGAGGGCAAAUUAGGUCACAUGUCUGUGACUCACAGGUAGUGCAGUAUCCCUUAGUACUUGGGCAGCAUAACCACCCUGUCUCCAGGGUUCAGGUUUCUGCCCUUUAUUCUUUUGCCACCAUGCUACUUCAGCCGGUUGGUUUGAGUCCUGACACUGUAAUUAGGGGAGAGUUGGUGUCUCUCUGGCUUCUGGGGGAUAUUGAGUUCUUUGGUAACUUGAGCAAUGUGACCCCCCUGUAACUAGGGUCCAGGUCUUUGCCCACUUGCUCGUUUGCCAUUAUGCCACGCUCUGGCCCACUAGUCAGCGUGACAACCCUGUAAUUAGGGUCCAUGUCACAAGUAUCUACAGAAUGGGACAUAUUGAGCGCUUUGAUACUUUGAGGAGUUUGACCUUUCUGUAAAUCAGGAUACGGUCUCUGCUAUUUGGCUAAUCCCAGUGACCACCCUGUAAUCAGGGUACAGGUUCCAUCUCCCUUUUGAAAUCUGGUGGAUUAGAACCAUGGGCAGCUUGACCUCCCUGUAAUUAGGGUUUGGUUUCCAAGGCCCUUUGGGUCUCUUGACAUUGUGCUGUCUUCACUGCCUGAGGCGAAUGACUGCCCUGUAAUCAGGGAAUCUGCUCUUGGCCUUCUGGUCUCUUGUCACUAGGCCAAGUAAGCCAGCUGGUCUGAAUGAGCACCCUGUAAACGGGGUACAGGUCUCCUCAGACACUAUUUGUGGUGCCCCCAUGAAACUGUGUCCAGAGUCCUGGCCCUUCACACUGCGCUUCCAACUUGCCUGGAAUUCUGCAGCCAAGUCUCCUGCUUUCUUCCCUGCUUACUGUGCUCCUGGAGACCCGACAUCCUGCUCCUGUUGCAGGCAGCUCUAAGCACAAAUGGACAAGAAGGAAGUGUCAGGAAUGUGAAGCAAAGAGGAGGAAAGAGGACCAGUCACUGAAGAUGAAGAAGGAAAGGGACUCUGGGCACAGUAACCUCCCUAUAAUCAGACCUGAGGUCAUGUAGUGACACGGUACAGGAAUCUCUAGCCUUGUAAUCCCUUGAGCAGCGUGACCGCCCUGUAAGCAGGGUCCAGGUCUGUGCUGUUUUGUCCUUUUGACAUUAUGCUCCGUUAGCUGGC